GUCUUGGAGUCAAUACUGUGUGUUGGUUCCAAGGCAGAAGAGCGGUAAGGGCUAGGCAAUGGGGGUCAAGUGACUUGCCCAGGGUCACACAGCUGGGAAGUGUCUGAGGCCAGAUUUAAACCUAGGACCUCCCGUCUCUAGGCCUGGCUCUCAAUCCACUGAGCUCCCCUCCCCCCCUUUCCCCUUUAAACCCACAGAUUUCCCAGUCUUAGAUAAGCAUUUAUGAGUUCAACCAAUGUCCACAAAUGUUUCAGGGCCCAUUGAAUUUGGGAAAAGUUGAGUGAGCUCUAUUCCCUGUUGAUCCCUCAGCAGGACUGAACCAGUAACUAGAGAUGACUCUCCUCAUCUUAGAAAACUUCCUUUUGUAGGAACCAUGUCUAAGAAGCCCACUGUGCAUGCUGAAGUUGCAGGAUCUGUAUCUAGCCCUGUGCUCUUGAGAUCAUACAAGGCCCUGCCUGGUGAUCUAUCUCCAGAUGAUGCUGAUAUGAGCUCUGCCACCAGGCCCAAGACUGCACAGAUGUCGAAAAAAAUAACCAAGACAGUAGAAAGGUAGGAGGAGGGAAAAGAGAGAAUGCUAUGUCAUGAUAACUAAGGAAGGGAGUAUCCAAGAGGAGAAGGUGAUUUUUCAGCAGUGUCCAGGGCUGCAGAGAGGUCAAGAGGGAUAAGGUUUGAGAAAGGCUCUUCACAUUAGAGUUUACAAUUAAGAGGUCUUUGGAGAGAGUUUCAAUUGGAUGGUAAGGGUGGAAGCCAGAUGGCAGAGGUUUUAGAAGAAAGGAAGAGGAGAGGAAGUAGAGACCGCUACUGACUUUCUCCUAAAAUUUACCUCCAAAGGGGAGGAGAGAUCUAGGAUAAUAGCUCAGUGGUAGGAUCAUGUGGAGGUUUUUUAAAGAUAAGGGAGAUAUGGAUGUGUUUGGAGGUAAUGGAGAAGCAGCCAGUAUAUAGAGACUGAAGAUUACAGAGUGAAUAUUAGUGAGGAGGAGGGGAUAAGGAUGGGAGGGUUUGGGUUCCUCUGUAGAGGAAGUUGGCCUUGGCAAGUAGAAGUAGGAGAUUAUGGUCAAUGCAAGAGACUUGUGAGAUGAGGAGGAGGGAAGAUGGAUCAGUUAUCCAGGGGCCUCUAUUUCUUUGCUGAAGUAUCAGUUGAGGUUCCUCAGCUCAGAGAAUCUAUGGAAGGGAGAAUACUGUGGGAGGUUUUGGGGAAGAAACAAAGGUCUAGAAAAGUCCUUAUUUUCAAUCUUUGUCUUUCAGGACUUGGACUCCAGUAACCGAAACAGAAAUUCCGGGUAUUACGGGGACUGGUAGGUAAAGUGCUGAUAGAACAAGUAGGGGUUUGAGGCUCUAGCUUUGUUUGCUUGAUACUCUGGGGAACUGAGGGAGAUUUCCAGGAGUGAGCUCACCACUCAGAAGGUGGGAAGCUUUUCAUCCCUGGAGGUCUUCAAGCUGAUGUCAGAUGAUGCUUAGCAGCAGCCAAAUAAUUUAAUAGUUUAAAGAGUUGGGUCAUCUGGUCUAACCUGACCUAUAUAGGAAUCCCUUCUACAGUGCCCCUAAACUGUAGG
rnacentral:lncRNA from 1 species